GUUGAUAGCUUCCUCUGGAAUUGUUUAUGAACUUCUUUCCAAUUGAAAAGGUGUAUGUAAUAUAUCUCUCCCAUUGGAUCUCGAUCAUAGAGUUAAGAUCAACCAAGAAAAAUGCAAGUUACUUGCAUAGAAAAAAUAUAACAAAGUAUAGAAUCGCUAUAAGCAGCACACUUAAAUGUAAGAAGGCGAUGACAAGUUAGUGGAACAAUGGAGAUAUUAAUGCAAGCCAGCUUGUGUGGGUGUGGAUGCAGUCUGGUUGGAAGCUUGAGGCAUUCAACUAUGGAUGCCGAUACCACAUUCAUGCAAUUUCCUCCAUCUAUGAUAAGUUUCUUUACUUGAUUUCCACAAUGAAGCAAAGUCUGAAAUACUGAAUUGUGUGCCACUCCUCUUCUUCUGCUUUAAGGGUUACUAAAUGUAUCUCACAAUAAAGAGGAUGGUAGAAUGAACACCUUCAUAUACUAGAUUAUCCCCUGCAUGAUUACAUUCACUUGAAUUUGCCUCAUCAUCUUCUAGUACUGAUUCUUCAUUCUUUCAUGCUACUCCAAAAUGCAAAUUCUGUUUUUGUAGACAUUGAUGUCUUAUGUGUCCAUCCUCUCCACACUUAAAAAGCAUGCAACACUCAUCUUGCCUUUAGCAUUAGUGUCAUUAGAUGAAGCAGGUUUGAAUUAGUGAAAUGGUUAAAUGACUGCAAAACAGCUGACUUGCUGUCAUAAGUUGCAUCAAAACCUCUUUUUGCAACUAUCUCCUUGCAUUGAACCCCAAAUUUCUUAGUUAUAGGUUGGUUCAAGUAUUCCGCCAUGUAAGGGCUACGUGGAAUGCAUGUUCUACACUGCAUAUAGGGUAUCUAAGCAAUCUUUCUUAAUAUCAAACCUUUGUCUAAACUUAAAUUUAGCUAAUGCCUCUGUAGCAUCUCUCACAACUUGACUUUGGAUUUUUAACUCAUCAUGCUGGUGCAUAUAUUCAACCACAAGGAUGCUGAUCUUUCAAAUUCUGCGCUUUCUUGUGCAUUUUUUGAAGAUAAUUGUAUGGCAUAUACUUUUCUUGUAGCCUGUUGGUUACCACAAUUCUUUCAUAUCAUGUUUAAUACCAUAAGACCAUAUUUUAGCUAAUCUACUAAGCUUCAUCUUAGCAUACCUCAGUUUGUGAUCUUCUCCCAAGUUAUGCCAAUCAAAGUAAGAUUCAUAAGAAUGGAGCCAAUCACAAAAUAAUGCAAGAUCUAUCCUACCUUCAAAAUAGGGAUCUUAUAACUUGACUUUCUUAGUGAUGUCUCCUACUGUAUUUCGUGGUUGAAUUCAGUUGUAACUUGAAGACUUUGUUUAGCUCCUAUGUUUGCUAUCCAAGAGAGUGCUUGACUAUAGUUUCUUUUAUUGCUUGCUAGUUAGAGUUAAUAGAAUAGAAGACACCAUCUUAAGUUACUCAUACUGUCAAGAAAUUACUCAAUUUAGGUAAGGGUCUAAGAAUAAGUUUUAAUAUCUCUAACACAGCCGUUUUAGCUUCUAUUGAAUUCAUUGUUUUUGUUCAAGCAAUCCAAUCUUGUUUUUGUAUCUUCAAGAUUGUAGUGAAGAAUCAAGCUUUGAAAUAAUCAAACCUCAUUGAAAAGAAUUGAACUUUGAUUUUAAUUCAAUGUUUGCCACCCUUGUUGAUGGGAAUCAAAGUAGCAAACUUCAAGGAUCUUCAAACUUUGAUACCAAACCAAGCUUGCAGGCUUUGAUUAUUCAAGCUAGAUUUUGGUUUGUUUGAAAGCUGGAAUGAAUAGAAAAUUAGGCAAACCAUUGUAGCUAGGAGUAGCUAAAUGUUGAAAUAGGAGAAGGAAAAAAGUACUGAAUUCUUUUAAUGUUUUAUAACUGGGUUAAAAAAGUUCUCCAUGCCUUUUUUUUCUGUUAAAUAAUGCCUCAAUAUCCUUGAAUUGGAAAAUUUGUGGACUAAAUAGCACAAUUGAAAAAUAGACUCAGUUGACAAAUCUUGAAAUGUUAAAACUUAAAAGAGCUCUAUAAUGGGUUUUUCCAAACAUUUAUAGAUACUGUAUGUGCAAGCGCAUGGGUGAAUAGGGCAUUUUUGGAAAUGCAUAAAAAUGUUGUUAUGAAUAGAAAAACAUAGAUCUGGAAAAUUGUCAAAUGGUCUCAUUAGAAAUUGAAGAGUGUUUGCUGAUUUCAAUACCAUACUGAAAUGCCUCCUAAACAUUUCUGCUUGUGCCAGACUGCAAUAUGAAAAGGUUUUACAUCUUUUAUCUUUUUCGUUUUUGUUAUUAUCUUUUUAUUAGUGUUAUUCUUAGUUUUUUUUUUUUGU
rnacentral:misc_RNA from 1 species